rnacentral:rRNA from 1 species
UUGAUCAUGGCUCAGGACGAACGCUGGCGGCGCGCCUAACACAUGCAAGUCGAACGAGCAAAGAGGAGCUUGCUUCUCUGAGCGAGUGGCGAACGGGUGAGUAACGCGUGAGGAACCUGCCUCAAAGAGGGGGACAACAGUUGGAAACGACUGCUAAUACCGCAUAAGCCCACGGGUCGGCAUCGACCAGAGGGAAAAGGAGCAAUCCGCUUUGAGAUGGCCUCGCGUCCGAUUAGCUAGUUGGUGAGGUAACGGCCCACCAAGGCGACGAUCGGUAGCCGGACUGAGAGGUUGAACGGCCACAUUGGGACUGAGACACGGCCCAGACUCCUACGGGAGGCAGCAGUGGGGAAUAUUGCACAAUGGGGGAAACCCUGAUGCAGCGACGCCGCGUGGAGGAAGAAGGUCUUCGGAUUGUAAACUCCUGUUGUUGAGGAAGAUAAUGACGGUACUCAACAAGGAAGUGACGGCUAACUACGUGCCAGCAGCCGCGGUAAAACGUAGGUCACAAGCGUUGUCCGGAAUUACUGGGUGUAAAGGGAGCGCAGGCGGGAAGACAAGUUGGAAGUGAAAUCCAUGGGCUCAACCCAUGAACUGCUUUCAAAACUGUUUUUCUUGAGUAGUGCAGAGGUAGGCGGAAUUCCCGGUGUAGCGGUGGAAUGCGUAGAUAUCGGGAGGAACACCAGUGGCGAAGGCGGCCUACUGGGCACCAACUGACGCUGAGGCUCGAAAGUGUGGGUAGCAAACAGGAUUAGAUACCCUGGUAGUCCACACCGUAAACGAUGAUUACUAGGUGUUGGAGGAUUGACCCCUUCAGUGCCGCAGUUAACACAAUAAGUAAUCCACCUGGGGAGUACGACCGCAAGGUUGCAACUCAAAGGAAUUGACGG